CCUACGGGCUGCAGCAGUGGGGAAUAUUGGACAAUGGGCGAAAGCCUGAUCCAGCCAUGCCGCGUGUGUGAAGAAGGCCUUCGGGUUGUAAAGCACUUUCAGUGGGGAAGAAAGCCUUGGGGCUAAUACCCUCGAGGAAGGACAUCACCCACAGAAGAAGCACCGGCUAACUCCGUGCCAGCAGCCGCGGUAAUACGGAGGGUGCGAGCGUUAAUCGGAAUUACUGGGCGUAAAGCGCGCGUAGGCGGUCUGAUAAGCCGGUUGUGAAAGCCCCGGGCUCAACCUGGGAACGGCAUCCGGAACUGUCAGGCUAGAGUGCAGGAGAGGAAGGUAGAAUUCCCGGUGUAGCGGUGAAAUGCGUAGAGAUCGGGAGGAAUACCAGUGGCGAAGGCGGUCUUCUGGACUGACACUGACGCUGAGGUGCGAAAGCGUGGGUAGCAAACAGGAUUAGAUACCCGAGUAGUC
rnacentral:rRNA from 1 species